ACGAACGCUGGCGGCAGGCUUAACACAUGCAAGUCGAACGCCCCGCAAGGGGAGUGGCAGACGGGUGAGUAACGCGUGGGAAUCUACCCAGUUCUACGGAAUAACCCAGGGAAACUUGGACUAAUACCGUAUACGCCCUACGGGGGAAAGAUUUAUCGGAAUUGGAUGAGCCCGCGUUGGAUUAGCUAGUUGGUGGGGUAAUGGCCUACCAAGGCGACGAUCCAUAGCUGGUCUGAGAGGAUGAUCAGCCACACUGGGACUGAGACACGGCCCAGACUCCUACGGGAGGCAGCAGUGGGGAAUAUUGGACAAUGGGCGCAAGCCUGAUCCAGCCAUGCCGCGUGAGUGAUGAAGGCCUUAGGGUUGUAAAGCUCUUUCAGUGGGGACGAUAAUGACGGUACCCACAGAAGAAGCCCCGGCUAACUUCGU
rnacentral:rRNA from 1 species